CAUGUUUAUUAACUUAAAUAGUUUAAUCUGAUCUAUCUUCCACUAUAAAAUUUUUAAAAAGCAUGCUUAAAACACCUGCUAGUUUUUCUUCACGAACUUUCGAAAGUCUGCCUUAAUACUACUAGAUGCCAUCCCAAACAUAUCUCAAGAAACAAACACCAAACAAUCAAGAAAGUAUUCUAGAAAAAUUAUGUUCAGCACCUUACCAAGAUCCAAGCGAAACUCUAAUUUUUCCUCCACCAAAUUGAACUCCAAAGCUCUGAUACCAGAUGUUGUGAUCUUUCUUGAUUGUCCCUUGAAGCAUGCUGAUCUUGGAACCAGCAACAAGGAUUGUGGAGGUGUUGAAACACAAGAGAGUUGCUAUAGAAAAUUUUGGGUAGCAGCCUUCUUAUAACUUUGUUCUUCUUUCCAAUCCUUUUAGGGUUGCUUAAGGAUGCCAAUCCCAACUUCUAGAGGGGCAAGGAGAUCAAGAAUAGUAGCUACUAUGAUGGUUUGGACAUCCCAAAGUCCUAGAAUAAUCAGGGAUAUCAGGUUUUGGGUGGAAGGACCUUCUCCUAUUCGAACUAGGAGAAGAUGAUGGGGGUGGCUAGGCUUGGGCGUUCUCCUUCAGCCCUAGAUGGCGGCUAGGGUUUUCACAUCAAAGUGAGGUGGCAAUCAGAGAGAGAGAGAAAUAAGGAGAGAGAAAGUGAGAGAGAAAAUGAUCUUGUAUUGAUCGACUUAAUUAGAAACCUAAUACAAUGUAUAUAUUUAUAUAGGGUCAAUGUGACUCAAUCCAAAAACUCCCAUGACUAACCCAAUGUG
rnacentral:lncRNA from 1 species